rnacentral:lncRNA from 1 species
GUGAGAGAGGAAGGAAUUAUUUUUAAAUGGACCACCCUUGGCUGGAAAUUCGUCACUCAUUCAUCCCGCGAUUAUUGUGUUUUCAGUCACCGGCCACGGAGAGAACAUAAUUGUACACUUGCAAAGCCGACUAAAAACGAGGGCUGAGGAGCUUGCGUGGCUAAUAAUUUGGACCGCCCUCCAAGAUGGUGAUAGGGAUUCCCCCAAGGGCAUAAGGCGAGUCAGGGCCUGCCAUCUGAAAGUGAAACCCCAGGUAGCGGGACUCAAGGACACCCAGCUGAGGGGUGCUUGAUAAGGUGAAACCUCCACGAAGAACUCUCCUUUCAUGUUAUCUUCGUCCUCAGUCUGAGCGUCCCACAGGAGAGCGCAUAACUAUUCCGCUGAGCUAUUUGACAUUUUGUAUCAUGUUCACAGUGAUGACUCUUUGUGCAUCAUCCUGGCGCUGCACUGGCAGACUUCAGGGGAGUCUCGCUGCAUCGCGUCCACCUGAAAAAAGUUGCAAAGCUUGCAUUUUUGUCACCAGGGCUACGUUCCCUUCAUUUGACUAACAUAGGCAGGCUCAUCUCUUCCUGACUGAAGGAGCAGCUGUCACCACUGUAGACCAUAUGGAUGUGGCAAAUAUUGGGGGCGUAGUAGCUUUGCUUGCUGUUGAUGCAUAUUAAUGAAUAGCUGUUGCUACAUGACAGUGCCAUUUUUUAAAUCCCCUCAACAAUUAAGAUGUUUCCCUACUUUAUAGCCUACAACGUUGGUCUGGUUUUCAAGAACAGAAUGAGUCUAGCCCUGCUGUGUUUGGAUCUCCAAUCUCCAUUCCAAGGUGUGGUGUAGAUUCACACAACACCCUCUCACAGCAUUUCGUAUUAUUCUGUAUGUAAAUCCGACACACUUAAUUUAGAAUAUGAUACUGUAUGUUACAUUUCAUAUGUGUAACGUGUAUGCUGGAAUUUGGGAAUCAAGUUCAGGGAGUGUAUUUAAUAACUCAAUAAACAUAGAACAAAAGCAGAAACACGAGUAGCGAACAGACAUGAACACUGGAACAGAAACAAUAAAGCCUAGGGAUAGAACCAAAGGAGUGACAUAAACUCAGCAAAAAAAGAAACGUCCUCACUGUCAACUGCGUUUAUUUUCAGCAAACUUAACAUAUGUUCAUACAAAUAUUUACACAACAAGAUUCAACAACUGAGACAUAAACUGAACAAGUUCCACAGACAUGUGACUAAUAGAAAUG